GCAUAGCCCUUUUAAGGCGAUGGACUAGAAAUCCAUUGGGGUCUCCCCGUACAGGUUCGAAUCCUGUCGACUGCG
rnacentral:tRNA from 1 species